rnacentral:rRNA from 1 species
CGGAUCGUAAAGCUCUGUUGUUAGGGAAGAACAAGUACCGUUCGAAUAGGGCGGUACCUUGACGGUACCUAACCAGAAAGCCACGGCUAACUACGUGCCAGCAGCCGCGGUAAUACGUAGGUGGCAAGCGUUGUCCGGAAUUAUUGGGCGUAAAGGGCUCGCAGGCGGUUUCUUAAGUCUGAUGUGAAAGCCCCCGGCUCAACCGGGGAGGGUCAUUGGAAACUGGGGAACUUGAGUGCAGAAGAGGAGAGUGGAAUUCCACGUGUAGCGGUGAAAUGCGUAGAGAUGUGGAGGAACACCAGUGGCGAAGGCGACUCUCUGGUCUGUAACUGACGCUGAGGAGCGAAAGCGUGGGGAGCGAACAGGAUUAGAUACCCUGGUAGUCCACGCCGUAAACGAUGAGUGCUAAGUGUUAGGGGGUUUCCGCCCCUUAGUGCUGCAGCUAACGCAUUAAGCACUCCGCCUGGGGAGUACGGUCGCAAGACUGAAACUCAAAGGAAUUGACGGGGGCCC